UACGGAGGUGGCAAGCGUUGCUCGGAAUCACUGGGCGUAAAGGGCGCGUAGGCGGGGAGGUAAGUCGGGUGUGAAAUCCCUCGGCCCAACCGAGGAACUGCGCCCGAGACUGCUUCUCUUGAGUCCCGGAGAGGAAGAUGGAAUUCCCGGUGUAGCGGUGAAAUGUGUAGAGAUCGGGAGGAACACCGGUGGCGAAGGCGGUCUUCUGGACGGUGACUGACGCUGAGGCGCGAAAGCGUGGGGAGCAAACGGGG
rnacentral:rRNA from 1 species